GCUAGGAACAAAGCGCGUGACCAAGAGCAAGAACCAAGCAGUUUGAUGAUUUUUGCCCAAAAUAUGUCUGAACAAUGGCAAACAAACAGUUAAACCACCUGUGUGACACUUAAAAGCAUCUUUUUUGAGGCUCUUCUUCUGUAUUCUGAAGAGUAACUACAACCAGCUCACAUACUGCACAGCCACUGAAGCCUGGCAGAGGCUGCAUUCAGGAUUAAGAGAGCCGCUCUAUUACCCCGCUCAACACAGCUGUUAAUCACUUACUGACUGUGUUUGAUCUCCUUCAUAUGCUGUAGUUUUUUUUUUUUUACUUUUUUAGGCAUUGUAUAAAUGUUAACGUUGUAGACCUAUUUCACUGAAAUAGUAAUGUAGUUUUUAUAAAAUGCGCUAAAACUUGUCCUUUCAAAUAAACAUAUUUUGACAGCAAUGAAUUAGCCA
rnacentral:lncRNA from 1 species